rnacentral:rRNA from 1 species
UACGUAGGGUGCAAGCGUUAAUCGGAAUUACUGGGCGUAAAGCGUGCGCAGGCGGUUAUGUAAGACAGAUGUGAAAUCCCCGGGCUCAACCUGGGAACUGCAUUUGUGACUGCAUAGCUAGAGUACGGUAGAGGGGGAUGGAAUUCCGCGUGUAGCAGUGAAAUGCGUAGAUAUGCGGAGGAACACCGAUGGCGAAGGCAAUCCCCUGGACCUGUACUGACGCUCAUGCACGAAAGCGUGGGGAGCAAACGGG